rnacentral:rRNA from 1 species
UACGUAGGUGACAAGCGUUGUCCGGAUUUACUGGGCGUAAAGAGCGCGCAGGCGGUCGUUCAAGUCGAGUGUGAAAGCCCCCGGCUCAACUGGGGAGGGUCAUUCGAUACUGAUCGACUCGAAGGCAGGAGAGGGAAGUGGAAUUCCUGGUGUAGCGGUGAAAUGCGCAGAUAUCAGGAGGAACACCGGUGGCGAAGGCGGUUCUCUGGGCAUGAUCUGACGCUGAGGAGCGAAAGUGUGGGGAGCGAACAGG